GACGAACGCUGGCGGCGUGCCUAAUACAUGCAAGUCGAGCGGACGAAUCGAAAGCUUGCUUUUGAUUCGUUAGCGGCGGACGGGUGAGUAACACGUGGGCAACCUGCCCUGUAGACGGGGAUAACACCGAGAAAUCGGUGCUAAUACCGGAUAACACGAAAUGUCGCAUGACGUUUCGUUGAAAGACGGCGCAAGCUGCCGCUACAGGAUGGGCCCGCGGCGCAUUAGCUAGUUGGUGAGGUAACGGCUCACCAAGGCGACGAUACGUAGCCGACCUGAGAGGGUGAUCGGCCACACUGGGACUGAGACACGGCCCAGACUCCUACGGGAGGCAGCAGUAGGGAAUCUUCCGCAAUGGACGAAAGUCUGACGGAGCAACGCCGCGUGAGCGAAGAAGGCCUUCGGGUCGUAAAGCUCUGUUGUUAGGGAAGAACAAGUAACGCAGUAACGGGCGUUACCGUGACGGUACCUAACGAGAAAGCCACGGCUAACUACGUGC
rnacentral:rRNA from 1 species